rnacentral:rRNA from 1 species
AGAGUUUGCUUUGGGUCAGGACGAACGCUGGCGGCGCGCCUAACACAUGCAAGUCGAACGAAAGAGAGGGAGCUUGCUUCCUCAAACAAGUGGAUAACGGGAGAGAAACGCGUACGGAACCUGCCUCACAGAGGGGGACAGCCUUAUGGAAACGACAUGCUGAUACCGCAUAAACCGACGGGUCGGCAUCAACCAAAGGGAAAAGGAGCAAUCCUCUUUGAGAUGGCCUCGCGUCCAAAUAGCUACUUGGUGAAGUAACGGCCCACCAAGGCAACGAUCGGUAGCCGGACUGAUAGGUUGAACAGCCACAUUGGGACUGAGACACGGCCCAGAUUCUUACGGGAGCCACCAGUGGGGAAUAUUGCACAAUGGGGGAAACCCUGAUGCAGCGACGCGGCGUAGAGGAAGAAUGUCUUGGGAUUGUAAACUCUUUCUGCUGAGGAGGAUAAUGACGGUACUCAACAAGGAAGCGCCGGCUAAAUACGUGCCAGCAGCCGCGGUAAUACGUAGGUCACAAGCGUUGUCCGGAAUUACUGGGUGUAAAGGGAGCGCAGGCGGGAAGACAAGUUGGAAGUGAAAUCUAUGGGCUCAACCCAUAUACUGCUUUCAAAACUGUUUUUCUUGAGUAUUGCAGAGGUAGGCGGAAUUCCUGGUGUAGCGGUGGAAUGCGUAGAUAUUGGGAGGAACACCAGUGGCGAAGGCGGCUUACUGGGCACCAACUGACGCUGAGGCUCGAAAGUGUGGGUAGCAAACAGGAUUAGAUACCCUGGUAGUCCACACCGUAAACGAU